CUGCAGCCCGAGUGGCGAUCGAUUUUAUUGAGCCUAAAGCGUCCGUAGCCGGACUAGUAAACCCUUGGGUAAAUUGGGCAGCUUAACUGUCCAAAUUCCGAGGGGACUGCUAGUCUUGGGACCGGGAGAGGUCAGAGGUACUCAAGGGGUAGGGGCUAAAUCCUGUAAUCCUUUGGGGACCACCAGUGGCGAAGGCGUCUGACUAGAACGGAUCCGACGGUAAGGGACGAAACCCUGGGGCGCGAACCGGAUUAGAUACCCGAGUAGUCC
rnacentral:rRNA from 1 species